UCUAGAACUCGAGAUAUGGGCUGAACACUGAACAGUGUAUGGGCUGCAAGAUAGAUUCCGACUUCUCUGUUGUUGCUAAACUUUGGACUUCCAAACAGCAGAAUUAAGUCUUGGACUCCUCAUGAAUGUUUUAGGCCUAUGUCUUAGCUUUCUAUC
rfam:Populus trichocarpa isolate Nisqually-1 chromosome 17, whole genome shotgun sequence.